rnacentral:lncRNA from 1 species
GGGAUCAGUAUAUUCUUUUUCAGGUUUUGUGAAUAACGGGAUCUUAAAUAGCGAGCCAGUGACAUGGUUAAUGGAUGGAAGAUGUAAAAAUAAUUUAAGAGCAAGUAGUCUACCAAAACCAUUACCCAUGUGGUGGUGGUCGUGGUGGUCUUACCAUUCAGCUCUUUCGUAGAAAGAAGGAAUAUAUGUAAUGAUGGUGGUGGUGGUGGUCUUUACCAUGCGAUUCUUUCGUACGGUAGCCUCAGGUCAAAUCAAAUAGAGGUAUCUAAUAGAUGGUUAUCCAUUUUGAUGGUAUAUUUUAAGAUCUCUUGUUUAUAAAAGAAAGAUAACAAAUGGUAGGUUUUACUCUUUCCACAUGUUCUAUGAGAAGCAUAUCUUUGCCAUUUCCAAAUAAAAGGUGUGCAUUGUAUUUACGAUUUGCCAUUUCCAAAUAAAAGGUGUGUAUCAUCUUUACGCUUAAUACUUUCCGAUUCUACUAAAAAUUUUAUAAUAUAAAAAUUUGUUAUGGAUAGACUUAUUGGAUUAGUUCAUCAAUGACCUUAAGUUGGAAUCCUU